CUAGUACUCCCUUCGUCUGGAAAUACUUGUCAUUAAAAUGAACAAAAGAAGAUGUAUUUUAUAAAUACAUCUCUUUUUACCCAUUUUGAUGACAAGUAUUUUCGGACGGAGGGAGUACAAC
rfam:Triticum urartu cultivar G1812 contig99666, whole genome shotgun sequence.